UACGGGAGGCAGCAGUGGGGAAUAUUGCACAAUGGGCGCAAGCCUGAUGCAGCCAUGCCGCGUGUAUGAAGAAGGCCUUCGGGUUGUAAAGUACUUUCAGUCGUGAGGAAGGUGUUAAGGUUAAUAACCUUAGCAAUUGACGUUAGCGACAGAAGAAGCACCGGCUAACUCCGUGCCAGCAGCCGCGGUAAUACGGAGGGUGCGAGCGUUAAUCGGAAUUACUGGGCGUAAAGGGCACGCAGGCGGUUAAUUAAGUUGGAUGUGAAAUCCCCGGGCUUAACCUGGGAAUGGCAUUCAAGACUGGUUAGCUAGAGUCUUGUAGAGGGGGUAGAAUUCCAUGUGUAGCGGUGAAAUGCAUAGAGAUGUGGAGGAAUACCGGUGGCGAAGGCGGCCCCUGGGACAAAGACUGACGCUCAUGUGCGAAAGCGUGGGGAGCAAACAGGAUUAGGAUACC
rnacentral:rRNA from 1 species